rnacentral:rRNA from 1 species
CUACGGGCGGCUGCAGUGGGGAAUUUUCCGCAAUGGGCGAAAGCCUGACGGAGCAAUGCUGCGUGAAUGAAGAAGGUCUUCGGAUCGUAAAGUUCUGUCAUCAGGGAAGAACAGUGUAUGUAUGAAUAGUGCAUAUGCCUGACGGUACCUGAGGAGGAAGCCACGGCUAACUACGUGCCAGCAGCCGCGGUAAUACGUAGGUGGCGAGCGUUGUCCGGAAUUACUGGGCGUAAAGGGCGUGUAGGCGGAUGCUUAAGUCAGAUGUGAAAGACCCGGGCUUAACCUGGGGGUUGCAUUUGAUACUGGGUAUCUUGAGGACAGGAGAGGAAAGCGGAAUUCCUAGUGUAGCGGUGAAAUGCGUAGAUAUUAGGAGGAACACCAGUGGCGAAGGCGGCUUUCUGGACUGUAACUGACGCUGAGGCGCGAAAGCGUGGGGAGCGAACGGGAUUAGAUACCCCAGUAGUC